rnacentral:misc_RNA from 1 species
UUUCCGUAGGUGAACCUGCGGAAGGAUCAUUAAAGAGAAUAUGCCCUUCGGGGUAGAUCUCCCACCCUUUGUUUAUAUUACCUUUGUUGCUUUGGCAGGCCCGUCUUCGGACCACCGGCUUCGGCUGGUCAGUGCUUGCCAGAGGACCCAAAACUCUUAUUAUUAAUGUCGUCUGAGUACUAUAUAAUAGUUGAAACUUUCAACAACGGAUCUCUUGGUUCUG